rnacentral:siRNA from 1 species
UAGCUUUGUUAUUUCCUUUCU